AGAGGGUAUGCGUCAGAGGCCAGUCGGCAGAGGUGCAUGCAGGUUUGUGCUUGAGGGUGCACGCGAGCCGGUGGCUACAGGCAGAGGGUGCGGCCUGUGUGUGCGUGUUGUGGUCGCCUGAUUUGAUUGUAAAUCGUGUAGAGCAAAGGCGGCUUCUGUGGCGCCGGAGCAACAAUUUCAGUGAGCACAUGGACUUGAUGCAGGGAGGGUCGUCGAAGAGAAGGACGGCGGACCGGCCUACACAUGAUGGAACACACAUUGCCGACGAUGCGGUACCAGGCCUGGAGAAGAGAUCCCGAGGUGUUUGAUGAAAUGCCCUCCGUCCGGAAAUACUUGUCAUCAAAAUGAAUAGAAGGAGAUCACAAUGUUGGAC